UUUAGAACAACUAUCGUGAUGUCAUCAGCUGUUAAAAGGGAGACAACUUUACUUGACUGCUGAGUGGUUCGAUGCUUUGUUAUGUCUGCUUUGCUUACUUGGUAUUGAGUGAGUGAGUGAGCAAAUGUUUGUCUGGAUCAAAUAUACAGUACUAUUCGAAAUAGUAUUUUUUUUAAAAAUACACUACAAGUGUUGAAUGGCUGGGAUAUUUUGCCUCACUACAGCAAUCAGAUGUUGUGUAUUAAGAUAUAUGUAAUCAUUUUUGUCAUAUGAAUCAUUUAUAUAUACAUAUACAUAUACUAAUUAUAUAUAUUUAGAAUACUUAUAAUCUAUAUUAUGCAAGUUUACAAAUAUAUGUUGACAAUUU
rnacentral:misc_RNA from 1 species